rnacentral:rRNA from 1 species
CACGUGAAAUCCCGUCGGAAUCUGGGAGGACCAUCUCCCAACCCUAAAUACUCCCUAGUGACCGAUAGUGAACCAGUACCGUGAGGGAAAGGUGAAAAGCACCCCGGGAGGGGAGUGAAAUAGAACCUGAAACCGUGUGCCUACAACAAGUUCGAGCCCGUUAAUGGGUGAGAGCGUGCCUUUUGUAGAAUGAACCGGCGAGUUACGUUAUGAUGCGAGGUUAAGUUGAAGAGACGGAGCCGUAGGGAAACCGAGUCUGAAUAGGGCGCCUUAGUAUCAUGACGUAGACCCGAAACCAUGUGACCUACCCAUGAGCAGGUUGAAGGUGCGGUAAGACGCACUGGAGGACCGAACCAGGGCACGUUGAAAAGUGCUUGGAUGACUUGUGGGUAGCGGAGAAAUUCCAAACGAACUUGGAGAUAGCUGGUUCUCUCCGAAAUAGCUUUAGGGCUAGCGUCGACAUUAGAGAUUCUUGGAGGUAGAGCACUGUUUGGGUGAGGGGUCCAUCCCGGAUUACCAAUCUCAGAUAAACUCCGAAUGCCAAUGAAUUAUGGUCGGCAGUCAGACUGCGAGUGCUAAGAUCCGUAGUCGAAAGGGAAACAGCCCAGACCACCAGCUAAGGUCCCAAAAUAAUUGUUAAGUGGAAAAGGAUGUGGGGUUGCACAGACAACUAGGAUGUUAGCUUAGAAGCAGCUAUUCAUUCAAAGAGUGCGUAAUAGCUCACUAGUCGAGUGACCCUGCGCCGAAAAUGUACCGGGGCUAAAACAAUUUACCGAAGCUGUGGAUACCUUUAUAGGUAUGGUAGGAGAGCGUUCUAUGUGUGAUGAAGGUAUACCGUGAGGAGUGCUGGAACGCAUAGAAGUGAGAAUGCCGGUAUGAGUAGCGAAAGACAGGUGAGAAUCCUGUCCACCGUAAGACUAAGGUUUCCAGGGGAAGGCUCGUCCGCCCUGGGUUAGUCGGGACCUAAGGAGAGACCGAAAGGUGUAUCCGAUGGACAACAGGUUGAUAUUCCUGUACUAGAGUAUGUAGUGAUGGAGGGACGCAGUAGGCUAACUAAAGCAGACGAUUGGAAGAGUCUGUCUAAGCAGUGAGGUGUGAAUUGAGUCAAAUGCUUAAUUCUAUAACAUUGAGCUGUGAUGGGGAGCGAAGUUUAGUAGCGAAGUUAGUGACGUCACACUGCCAAGAAAAGCUUCUAGCGUUUAAACAUACUCUACCCGUACCGCAAACCGACACAGGUAGUCGAGGCGAGUAGCCUCAGGUGAGCGAGAGAACUCUCGUUAAGGAACUCGGCAAAAUGACCCCGUAACUUCGGGAGAAGGGGUGCUGACUUAAAGUCAGCCGCAGUGAAUAGGCCCAAGCAACUGUUUAUCAAAAACACAGCUCUCUGCUAAAUCGUAAGAUGAUGUAUAGGGGGUGACGCCUGCCCGGUGCUGGAAGGUUAAGAGGAGUGCUUAGCGUAAGCGAAGGUAUGAAUUGAAGCCCCAGUAAACGGCGGCCGUAACUAUAACGGUCCUAAGGUAGCGAAAUUCCUUGUCGGGUAAGUUCCGACCCGCACGAAAGGCGUAAUGAUUUGGGCACUGUCUCAACGAGAGACUCGGUGAAAUUUUAGUACCUGUGAAGAUGCAGGUUACCCGCGACAGGACGGAAAGACCCCAUGGAGCUUUACUGCAGUUUGAUAUUGAGUGUCUGUACCACAUGUACAGGAUAGGUAGGAGUCUAAGAGAUCGGGACGCCAGUUUCGAAGGAGACGCUGUUGGGAUACUACCCUUGUGUUAUGGCCACUCUAACCCAGAUAGGUGAUCCCUAUCGGAGACAGUGUCUGACGGGCAGUUUGACUGGGGCGGUCGCCUCCUAAAAGGUAACGGAGGCGCCCAAAGGUUCCCUCAGAAUGGUUGGAAAUCAUUCGCAGAGUGUAAAGGUAUAAGGGAGCUUGACUGCGAGAGCUACAACUCGAGCAGGGACGAAAGUCGGGCUUAGUGAUCCGGUGGUUCCGUAUGGAAGGGCCAUCGCUCAACGGAUAAAAGCUACCCUGGGGAUAACAGGCUUAUCUCCCCCAAGAGUUCACAUCGACGGGGAGGUUUGGCACCUCGAUGUCGGCUCGUCGCAUCCUGGGGCUGUAGUCGGUCCCAAGGGUUGGGCUGUUCGCCCAUUAAAGCGGCACGCGAGCUGGGUUCAGAACGUCGUGAGACAGUUCGGUCCCUAUCCGUCGCGGGCGUAGGAAAUUUGAGAGGAUCUGCUCCUAGUACGAGAGGACCAGAGUGGACUUACCGCUGGUGUACCAGUUGUCUUGCCAAAGGCAUCGCUGGGUAGCUAUGUAGGGAAGGGAUAAACGCUGAAAGCAUCUAAGUGUGAAACCCACCUCAAGAUGAGAUUUCCCAUGAUUAUAUAUCAGUAAGAGCCCUGAGAGAUGAUCAGGUAGAUAGGUUAGAAGUGGAAGUGUGGUGACACAUGUAGCGGACUAAUACUAAUAGCUCGAGGACUUAUCCAA